CACACUCUCUUCCGUCGUACCGAAACGACAAAACACCACAGCGCGCCCUCUCCAUCGCAGCCUCCUCCUCCUCCGCCGCCGCCGCCGCCGCCGAUGGACCCUCUCUCCGCCCUCCGCGACUUCACCAUGCGCGGCGACCUCGAGAAGAUCGUCCGCGCCGGCGAGGAGUUCCGGUUCGGCGCCGACUACGCCUUCCCCUGCGCCGCCGAGACGGCCUACCGGUCCAAGCAGGGCAGCCUGUACACCCUGGAGACCCUCCUCUUCUUCGUGAACCACCACAACCUCAAGCACACCGACUACAUCCAGGCCGCCCGCCUCAACCACCUCCCCACCGUCACCUUCAUCGACCGCAAGCCCCUCCUCGACUACCUCCAGGGCAAGAUCUCCUCCUCCGACGCCAUCCAGCUCUUCCCCUCCUCCUCCUCCUCCGCCUCCGCCGCCAUCGCCGCCGCCGCCGACGUCGCCGCCGCCCUCCCCGACCCCUCCUCCGCCUUCGCCUUCGCCGCCGCCGCCGCCCCCUCGGCCUUCGCCGCGGACGCCGAGGGCGAGGCCGAGGAGGACGCCGCGGCCGUCGACGUGAUGACCCUGAUCCGGACGGUCGAGCGGCCGCUCAAGGACCGCGAGGCGAUCCUGGAGUGCAAGAACCGGGACUUCUACGCCGUGCUCGUGGCCUCGACGCGGCGCGAGGAGGAGCGGCAGAGGAUGGAGUCGCAGCAGCGGAAGGAUGGGCUGGUGGCGAAGAGCCGCUUGAUGGGGGCGGAGGACAGGGGGCUGGGGUUCGGCGAGGAGCUAGGGUUUGGGGAUUCUGGGAUUAAGCCGAAAUUGAACCUCAAGGGGAGCAAGAUCGGGGAGGGCGUGCCGAUAAUCCUCGUGCCGAGCGCGUUCCAGACGCUGAUCACGAUACACAACGUGAAGGAGUUCCUGGAAGAUGGGGUUUUUAUCCCCACGGAUGUGAAGGCUAAGCAGAUGAAGGGGCCGAAGCCGGACUGCGUCACGGUGCAGAAGAAGUUCAGUAGGGAUAGAGUGGUGACGGCCUACGAGGUGAGGGACAAGCCAUCGGCGUUGAAGCCCGAGGAUUGGGACCGGGUUGUGGCGGUCUUCGUGUUGGGGAAGGAGUGGCAGUUCAAGGACUGGCCUUUCAAGGACCAUGUGGAGAUCUUCAAUAGGAUUAUUGGGUUCUUUAUGAGGUUCGAAGAUGACAGCGUGGAAUCUGCAAAGAUUGUAAAGCAGUGGAAUGUAAAGAUUAUCUCGAUAAGUAAAAAUAAGCGACAUCAGGAUCGGGCUGCUGCUCUUGAGGUGUGGGAAAAACUAGAAGAUUUUGUUCGGUCACGAUCGCAUGCUUAAUUGGCCAGGAGUUUGUCGAGAAAGCUUGUGAGGUCUUCUGGACAGUCCGGGUUAAGAUUGUCAGAUGUGCUCAUCCUGCUUCCUUCUUUGCAAUGGGCAGUAAAGACUCAGCUUCCCGACUAUCCAACAACUUGGUACUGUCCAAGUAUACAAAAAUCAGAGCUUACAACUGAUCUACGUAUGCUUGAAAGAACAAGAAUCGAGGUACAAGCUCCAUGUUUGGCAUCUGGAGCUAAAAUGAUCCAAUCACUGUGUCCUACCGCAAGAUUUUUUUUCAGCAGAAAACUCAAAUUUGGGUAGUGGUUGCUCAAAUUUGCUGUUGUCAGCUCUUAAAAAAGAAACGAAGAAAUUGGCAGAAUUAAAUGGUGGAGGAACAGAUGAUUAGUUCGAGGACAGCAUCGAGACAUAUGAUCCUGCCAAGAGGAGGACAAAAAGCAGGGGAAUCGACAGCUUGUUGGAGCCUGCAUCUGAUGAGCCAUCUUGUGUUGACGUUUCUAAAUCAGAGCUAAGCAGGAUGGAUGCUGCUGUACCUGAAGGAACUGUUGUUGGAGAGUCAGGAGUCUCUGAUGGAGAUUCAGCCGGGGAAGCAGCUGCACCGAAUCCAGUGUCUAUGCACCUGGUAGAGCCAGAGCUUGAGUCUGAUUGACGUUGAUCCCUAGUGAAGAGCCACCUCCGCUGAGAACCUGGCACAAGCACUGAGGCUGGGAGCGAACGACACUGGCAAGCUGUGUGCAGCAGGUCGGGGAUGCGGUGGAGGAGUUCCCCGUGAUGUAGUUGAGGCACGGCGAGAGGCUUAUCAACACAUUGGUGCAGCUUGACUGAGCAGCUGCCCCGACCCAGAGCAUGGCCACCGCAGCAAGAACCAGAGCCGCUUCCAUCCUUCUAUCCGCCAUCGAUGGGGUUAAUACCUCUCUCCCUUUCUCUCUCUACUCACAAACCGAUGUCUCGAGAACAAUUGUUGAGUGCUGAGAAAAUAUGUUUGCUGGACUGUGGAGGAGAUUAGGAAAUGGCGCGGGUUUAUGUAGGGGAAAUUGGAGGGAGGGAGGAACUUAUGUGGGUGACCAAACUCGUCCUAGAACCUGUCUGCCGAUUUGUUUAAGGAAAAGCUAAAUGUCAAACCUGGUGGUGAGUGGUGACAGGGCAAUUUUGGGGAGUGUUUUUGUAGGUGACCAAACUCAUUUCUAACUAAGUUCCUGCUGCUUUAUCUCA